UGGCACAUAUCUGAUUGGGGGGCUAUUAUGGUACUUGUUGCCCUUUAAAAUAAUUGGCUGGUGCUGGGAGCCAAACCCUAAACUUUCCUAAGUAAAUAUCUUUAGAUACAACUGUAACUUCUGCUUUCUUCCUGAUUAGUGGUUGUAAGGGAGUGACCUGGAGACCAGUGAAACGACUUUGGACUUUUGAGGGGUGCUGGGAGGAACUGUCAGAGACUACUUGGAGAUAACGUGACUUGGAUUAUGAAAUGACUAUGAGACGGGCAGGAAAAGCUAAAGAUAAAAGUCCUGGAUUUAAAUGUUUGGAGGUCCUGAGUUCAACUCCCAGCAACCACAUGGUGGCUCACAACCAUCUGUGAUGGGAUGCAGUGCCCUCUUCUGGUGUGCCUGAAGACAGCUGCAGUGUGCCCACAUACAUCAAAUAAAUGAAUCUUUUAAAGAUAAAAUAAAAAUAAAUAAAUAUGUAAAUUGAA